ACUCCUACGGGAGGCAGCAGUAAGGAAUAUUGGACAAUGGGCGCAAGCCUGAUCCAGCCAUCCCGCGUGCAGGAAGACAGCCCUAUGGGUUUUAAACUGCUUUUAGAAGGGAAGAAACGCCUACAUUUUAUGUGGGGUUUUGACGGUACCUUCAGAAUUAAGCACCGGCUAACUCCGUGCCAGCAGCCGCGGUAAUACGGAGGGUGCGAGCGUUAUCGGAAUUACUGGGUUUAAAGGGUGCGUA
rnacentral:rRNA from 1 species